ACCGGCCUGGGGGCGCCCAGGCAGCGACUGCCGCAGGGAGACGAAGACCAGAGUCCCUGGAGGGCCGGAGGGGCCCAAGAGCCAGACCCGGAAAUGGACGGUGGAGAUGGAAAGACUGAGUAUCUCUGAGGCGCAGGAAGACAGUGACGCGAAAGAUGGAGAUGCAGUGGGCAAAAUGGCACCCUUUCUCCUCCCAAACCAAUGAGCUUCGCUGAGAGCAGAUCCAGCACAGAAGACAGCCAGAGCCAUGCCGGUUGGCAGACACUUGUCUUUAGCAAAUGUAAUUAAAGGCAGCAGCAAGCAUCCCACUUGAUGAGAAAACAGUCUUUCCACUCAACACAGAGGACUGAGGGAAGAGCGCUAAACUUGGGUUCAGAAUACCUGGAGGGUCUACACCAGCUCUACCACUUUCCAGCUGUGUGAUAUCCGACAAGUCACACGUCACCUCUCUGAACUGCAGUCCCAGCAAGGGUAACUGCUCUCCUACCCUUCACGAUUUGUUAUGAGGAUCUGGACAAUGAUGUGAAAUUCCUUUUCAAAUUAUUCACCAUUCUGUAAAAUGGGAAUCAUUCUUAA